CCUACGGGUGGCAGCAGUGGGGAAUAUUGGACAAUGGGGGGAACCCUGAUCCAGCCAUGCCGCGUGUGUGAAGAAGGCCCUCGGGUUGUAAAGCACUUUCAGUGAGGAAGAACGCCUGGUGGUUAAUACCCAUCAGGAAAGACAUCACUCACAGAAGAAGCACCGGCUAACUCCGUGCCAGCAGCCGCGGUAAUACGGAGGGUGCGAGCGUUAAUCGGAAUUACUGGGCGUAAAGCGCGCGUAGGUGGCUUGAUAAGCCGGUUGUGAAAGCCCCGGGCUUAACCUGGGAACGGCAUCCGGAACUGUCAAGCUAGAGUGCAGGAGAGGAAGGUAGAAUUCCCGGUGUAGCGGUGAAAUGCGUAGAGAUCGGGAGGAAUACCAGUGGCGAAGGCGGCCUUCUGGACUGACACUGACACUGAGGUGCGAAAGCGUGGGUAGCAAACAGGAUUAGAUACCCGUGUAGUC
rnacentral:rRNA from 1 species